GUGAAUCAUCGAAUUUUUGAACGCAAAUUGCACUCUCUGCUAUUCCGGAGAGUAUGUCUGUUUGAGGGUCAGUAUAUCUAAAAAUCUGUUUGGUUGCUGCCUUUCGUGGUGACGCACCGGUUUUGGGUCGUCUUGGCUUCGGGUAAGUUACCUAUUAUUUUGCGUGAUCUUUUUCGAACGUAUUUAAAUUAUUUUACGUAG
rnacentral:misc_RNA from 1 species